UACGGGGGGGGGCAAGCGUUUGUUCGGAAUUACUGGGCGUAAAGGGCUCGUAGGCGGCCAACUAAGUCGGAUGUGAAAUCCCCAGGCUUAACCUGGGAACUGCAUCCGAUACUGGAUGGCUUGAAUCCGGGAGAGGGAUGCAGAAUUCCAGGUGUAGCGGUGAAAUGCGUAGAUAUCUGGAGGAAUACCGGUGGCGAAGGCGGCAUCCUGGACCGGCAUUGACGCUGAUGAGCGAAAGCUAGGGGAGCAAACGGGG
rnacentral:rRNA from 1 species